rnacentral:ribozyme from 14 species
CGGAGAGAAAGAAAGAAAGAAGAAGAAAGAAAAAGAGAGAGAGAGAGAGAGAGAGAGGUGUAAUGUGUGUGUGUA